rnacentral:rRNA from 1 species
AUUGAACGCUGGCGGCAUGCUUUACACAUGCAAGUCGAACGGGCUUAGGGGCUUGCUCCUAAGUUAGUGGCGAACGGGUGAGUAAUGCAUCGGAACGUACCGUGUAGUGGGGGAUAACCCGGCGAAAGUCGGAUUAAUACCGCAUACGAUCUAAGGAUGAAAGCAGGGGAUCGCAAGACCUUGCGCUAUACGAGCGGCCGAUGUCGGAUUAGCUAGUUGGUAGGGUAAAGGCCUACCAAGGCAACGAUCCGUAGCGGGUCUGAGAGGAUGAUCCGCCACACUGGGACUGAGACACGGCCCAGACUCCUACGGGAGGCAGCAGUGGGGAAUUUUGGACAAUGGGCGAAAGCCUGAUCCAGCCAUGCCGCGUGAGUGAAGAAGGCCUUCGGGUUGUAAAGCUCUUUUGUCUGGGAGCAAAUCCUGUUCACUAAUACUGAGCGGGGCUGAGAGUACCGGAAGAAUAAGCACCGGCUAACUACGUGCCAGCCGCCGCAGUAAAAC